AGUGAACGCUGGCGGUAGGCCUAACACAUGCAAGUCGAACGGCAGCACAGUAAGAGCUUGCUCUUACGGGUGGCGAGUGGCGGACGGGUGAGGAAUACAUCGGAAUCUACUUUUUCGUGGGGAUAACGUAGGGAAACUUACGCUAAUACCGCAUACGACCUACGGGUGAAAGCAGGGGAUCUUCCGACCUUGCGCGAUUGAAUGAGGCGAUGUCGGAUUAGCUAGUUGGGGGGGUAAAGGCCCACCAAGGCGACGAUCCGUAGCUGGUCUGAGAGGAUGAUCAGCCACACUGGAACUUGGACACGGACCAGACGCCUACGGGAGGCAGCAGUGGGGAAUAUGGGACAAUGGGCGCAAGCCUGAUCCAGCCAUACCGCGUGGGUGAAGAAGGCCUUCGGGUUGUAAAGCCCUUUUGUUGGGAAAGAAAAGCAGCCGCUUAAUACCCCGCUGUUCUGACGGUACCCAAAGAAUAAGCACCGGCUAACUUCGUG
rnacentral:rRNA from 1 species